rnacentral:misc_RNA from 1 species
GUGUGUGUGUGUGUGUGUGUAGUUGGACAUAACAAUGAUUUAGUUAGAGUUGAUUUUUCAAAUUAAAUGCACCCAUAGAGAGAGGGUAAUAUUGUUGUUGUCUAUUAUGUGGCUUGAGUCCAGUAACUCUUCUUUCUCAGUUAAGUGAAUGAUCCAUAACUAGUUCGACAUACUUAGAUAUGUUAGCUCAACACCACAGAGACUCAAGGAAGAAGAAGAAGAAGAAGCCAUUACG